rnacentral:rRNA from 1 species
UACGUAGGGUCCGAGCGUUGUCCGGAAUUAUUGGGCGUAAAGGGCUCGUAGGCGGUUUGUCGCGUCGGGAGUGAAAUCCACUGGCUUAACUGGUGGCUUGCUUUCGAUACGGGCAGACUGGAGGUAUGCAGGGGAGAACGGAAUUCCUGGUGUAGCGGUGAAAUGCGCAGAUAUCAGGAGGAACACCGGUGGCGAAGGCGGCUCCCUGGUCCGUCCCUGACGCUGAGACGCGAAAGCGCGGGGAGCGAACGGGG